rnacentral:rRNA from 1 species
UACGUAGGGACCGAGCGUUGUCCGGAUUCAUUGGGCGUAAAGCGCUCGUAGGCGGCCACUCAAGUCGAAUGUGAAACCUCGAGGCUUAACCUCGAGCCUGCAUUCGAUACUGGGCGGCUAGAGUCUGGUAGGGGGAUCUGGAAUUCCUGGUGUAGCGGUGGAAUGCGCAGAUAUCAGGAGGAACACCGGUGGCGAAGGCGGGAUCCUGGGCCAGUACUGACGCUGAGGAGCGAAAGCGUGGGGAGCAAACAGG